GAAGUAAGCGAGGCAAUCGCCGGCGCAGGGCCGAAAGGUCGCGCGGGAGGAAAGUCCGAGCUCUAUAGGGCAGGGUGCUGGGUAACCCCCAGUGGGAGCGAUCCUAAGGAAAGUGCCACAGACAUGGAGACCGCCGAUGGCCGUGCUACGCACGGAUCAGGCAAGGAUGCAACGGUGCGGUAAGAGCGCACCAGCGACGCGGAGACGCGUCGGCUAGGUAAACCCCACCUGGAGCAAGACCGCAUAGGAGCGCACGUGUGGCGGCCCGUCACGCGCUCGGGUAGGUUGCUUGAGCGGCAUGGAGACAUGUCGCCUAGAUAGAUGAUUGCCGCCUCGACUCGUGCGAGGCAAGGACGGUUUGGCGCGCGACUCUCGAGAUCGCACGCGAGACACUUGCCGCUUGCAGCACGUGAGGAGACAGAACUCGGCUUAUUGCUUGCUUCACUU
rnacentral:RNase_P_RNA from 1 species